rnacentral:misc_RNA from 1 species
CCGAGUUAUACAACUCCCAAACCCACUGUGAACCUUACCUCAGUUGCCUCGGCGGGAACGCCCCGGCCGCCGGCCUCCGCGCCGGCGCCGGACCCAGGCGCCCGCCGCAGGGACCCAAAACUCUUUUGCAUUACGCCCAACCGGCGGAAUUUCUUCUCUGAGUUGCACAAGCAAAACAAAUGAAUCA